GCCAGACUCCUACGGGAGGCAGCAGUGGGGAAUAUUGGACAAUGGGGGGAACCCUGAUCCAGCGACGCCGCGUGAGUGAAGAAGUAUUUCGGUAGGAAAAGCUCUAUCAGAAGGGAAGAAAGAAAUGACGGUACCGGAGAAAGAAGCCCCGGCGAACUACGUGCCAGCAGCCGCGGUAAGACGUAGGGGGCAAGCGUUAUCCGGAUUUACUGGGUGUAAAGGGAGCGUAGACGGCAGCGCAAGUCUGAAGUGAAAUGCCGGUGCUUAACCCCGGAACUGCUUUGGAAACUGUGCAGCUAGAGUGCAGGAGUGGUAAGUGGAAUUCCUAGUGUAGCGGUGAAAUGCGUAGAUAUUAGUAGGAACACCAGUGGCGAAGGCGACUUUCUGGACUGUACCUGACGCUGAGGCGCGAAAGCGUGGGUAGCGAACGGGAUUAGAUACCCGCGUAU
rnacentral:rRNA from 1 species